CAGAACAAAUUUAAAAUAGGCUUUCAUUUGCUUUUUUUGUUUUUUUCAUUUUUUUUGUUUUUUUUUGGCUAUGGGCAUGGAAGAUUCUUCCUCCUCAUCGUCG
rnacentral:ribozyme from 15 species